rnacentral:rRNA from 1 species
UUUACCUACGGGACGCAGCAGUGGGGAAUAUUGCACAAUGGGGGAAACCCUGAUGCAGCAACGCCGCGUGAAGGAAGACGGUUUUCGGAUUGUAAACUUCUGUUCUUAGUGAAGAAAAAUGACGGUAGCUAAGGAGCAAGCCACGGCUAACUACGUGCCAGCAGCCGCGGUAAUACGUAGGUGGCAAGCGUUGUCCGGAAUUACUGGGUGUAAAGGGAGCGCAGGCGGGAAGCCAAGUUGGCUGUGAAAACUAGGGGCUUAACUUGUAGACUGCAGUGGAAGCUGGUUUGCUUGAGUUAAG